AUUUAUCCUAUGUGUAACUCCUAACAUAGCAUCAUUGUAGGUGUCUUACUUUUUUUUAAACAUGGUCCCUCAGGGUUACACAUAGCAUCAUUGUAGGUGUCUUACUUUUUUUCAAACAUGGUCCCUCAGGGUCCGAUUCGAUAAAAAAGAUCACCCGAUUAAUAAACGAAAAACCGGAUUAAAAUCGUCACUAUACGCCCGCAAAAACAAGGCACACAAGACAACCUACACAAAAAACGCACACACGCCGCCAAAAAGAAAAGCACCGUCGAGGUUGCAAUCCGACAUCAUCAUCAUCACAUUGACGACCACCUAUGUAGCCUCCACCGCAGAGGCCUGCGUCGGUCAAUGUCAAACAAUCCACCACACACACGUCAUCGACGACCAGGCAGCUCCGACUCCGUCGACGAGUAUUGUAGGAUAAAAAGCACCGGACCGAUGCCCUCAUAUAUAAUAUAAUUGCGAUUUAGCAGGUAUAUAUAUAUAUAAAAUGUGCUAUGUCAUGAAAAGCAUAACUUUGUCAAGAAAAGCAUAUGGAUUCAUAUGGGAAUAUACUUUCUAAAUAUAUAAAUUUUAUUAUAAAUAAUGUAUAUCUAGCCAGUUAAAUAGAUGAACGAGAACUACACUCAUGCCUCAUGCAUCGGGGCGGAGAGAGACAAUCAGCUGGUUUAGGUUAGAGACCUUUUAUAGUACAUCUAGUCAACAUGUGUUGUUUAUUUUUAUAAUUAGAUGGUCCAGAUUAAUAUACUACACCUAAUAUCCGGUAUUAUAUUGAGUGGUUAGGGUUUAUUCAGAGUACAUCUAGUCAAUAUGUGUUGUUUAUUUUUGUAAUUAGAUGGCCCAGAUUAAUAUACUACACCUAAUAUCCGGUAGUAUAUUGAGUGGUCAGGGGUUAUUUUGAGUAGUUCCUUGUUUAUCAGUCCGCGGGAAUAUUUCCUCUUAAUACAAGUGGAUGGCACCGAUUGACGGUGUUCUGGACUGGGGUCGGACCAAGAACCCCAUGACGAUUCAUUAAUGGGUCAUCUUGGAUAAUACGUGAUGCAUACAAAAGAGAUUUUAUAAGACUUGAAACAUAAGAUAAAGACUUUUCUCCAUCGACGUAGCCAAUUAAGACUCUUGUUAUGCUAUGUUUCUGGUAUAUUAUGUAAGUUGAGGCUAGGCUAGUUAAUAGACGAUGGAUACAUAGAAUCAUUAUCCGAUCUAUGUAAGGUUUAGUUCAUCUAAUCUCGUGAUAGAUCGGCUCUGCAAUCGUCGUACACUCAUUAAUACAAUCAAAUAGGACGUAGGGUUUUACCUCUUCGAGAGGACCUAAACCUGGGUAAUUAUUGUUCCUAUGUUUUCCUGUAUUUCAUUGAUUCAAAGAUCCACAACCCGAAACCCUACCUGAUAUCUGCUGAUUGCUCGUCACCAUGGGCAUCUACGUCCAUCGUAGUCGCCUUCGCAAUGCUGCGGAGCGGCAGAGCGUGCAAGUGUAUAGGCCCCAGGCCGUCGUCGCUCUCACCGUAUCCCCGUGGUGCGGCCUCUCAUUUCCUCCGUUCGGCACCGUCGCAGUUGCUCGUCACCAUGGGCGGCUACCUCCAUCAUAGUCGCGCCUCUGCACCGCUACGGAGCGGCAGAGCAUAGUAGUGUACAGGCCCUAGGCUGCUGCCCUCAUCCCGUCCUGCGGCCUCCCCCUGCCUAGCCCGACCGAUGAUUCCCUCACAAAGUUGCAAUCACAGUUGUCGGUGCAAUGAGACAACGACGAGCUCCCAACUGCAAGUUUUUUAAAUUAAAUGCACGAAAAUACCACUCUUCAGUACCAAAGUUAAAUGCAUGAAAGUAAUGAAUCAGUAACAUAGUUCAUGUAUGUCACAGUUCAUCGUUUAUCCUCUCUUCCCCAUUUCAUCAUCUUGUCUUUUUCAAACUUUUUUUAUAAGUUAUUUCUCCCCUACCUCAUCAUUUAUUCUAUAUGAAUCUUUUUUUAUAAGUUAUUUCUCCUAUUUAUUCUAUAUGAAACUUCUCAUCAUUUGCCCUCUCUUGUCUUUUUUUAAUCUAUUUUUAUAAGUUUUUUUCCUCUAUCUCAUCAUUUAUCCUACAUGUAACUCUUAAAAAAGAUCUUUGUUAGUGUCCUUAGAUUUAUUUUUUAAAUAUGGUCCCACAGGGUCGGCUUCAUUAAAAAGGCCCGACUCAUUAAACAAGAUUCCUUAGAUUUAUUUUUUAAAUAUGGUCCCACAGGGUCGGAUUCAUUAAAAAGGCCCGACUCAUUAAACAAGAUCGUCCGAUUAAUAAACCAAAAACCUGACUAAAAUCGUCACAAAUACGUCCGUCAAAAUAAGACACACAGAACGAUCUGACAACCUACACAAAAACGCACACAUGCCGCNN
rnacentral:lncRNA from 1 species